GAAGGACGCCGACGGCCUCGGUGGAGGGGUCGGGGUCGGGGCCUCCAAUCGGCGACCCCAACCCCUCCACCGAGGUCGUCGGCGUCCUCU
rnacentral:pre_miRNA from 1 species